UACGUAGGUGGCGAGCGUUGUCCGGAUUUACUGGGUGUAAAGGGCGUGUAGGCGGGGAAACAAGUCAGAUGUGAAAUUCCGGGGCUUAACCCCGGCGCUGCAUCUGAAACUGUUAUUCUUGAGUGUCGGAGAGGAAAGUGGAAUUCCCAGUGUAGCGGUGAAAUGCGUAGAGAUUGGGAGGAACACCAGUGGCGAAGGCGGCUUUCUGGACGAUAACUGACGCUGAGGCGCGAAAGCGUGGGGAGCAAACAGG
rnacentral:rRNA from 1 species